UCUCUCUGAAUCUGCGAACGGCUCCGCAAACCAGUUGUAAACUAGAGCAAGCUAGUCUGGCGGGCUUCGGCCUCCAGGCGAUAUGGAUAACCCUGGUAAUUCUGAGGCUAAUACAUGACCGCAAAACCGGGCAGCCCAGCAAUGGAUGCUCGGGGAUGUGCGAUAUGGCUUGACAAUAACCGGGAAAGGACGCACACUCAGACCGCGCUAAAAAGGAUCGGGACUCUCUUCGGAGAACCUGGCCCCAGCGGCUCUUGCUGUGUGCUUCUGACCUAUCAACUAGACGGCAGCGUAAUGGACAUGCUAUGGUGACAACGGGUACAGAGGAUUAGGGUUCGAUCCUGGAGAGUGGGCCUGAGAGAUU
rnacentral:rRNA from 2 species